CCUACGGGAGGCAGCAGUGGGGAAUAUUGCACAAUGGGGGAAACCCUGAUGCAGCGACGCCGCGUGAGUGAAGAAGUAAUUCGUUAUGUAAAGCUCUAUCAGCAGGGAAGAAAAUGACGGUACCUGAGUAAGAAGCCCCGGCUAACUACGUGCCAGCAGCCGCGGUAAUAAGUAGGGGGCAAGCGUUAUCCGGAUUUACUGGGUGUAAAGGGAGCGUAGACGGCAGUGCAAGUCUGGAGUGAAAGGCGGGGGCUCAACCCCCGGACUGCUCUGGAAACUGUACGGCUGGAGUGCAGGAGAGGUAAGUGGAAUUCCUAGUGUAGCGGUGAAAUGCGUAGAUAUUAGGAGGAACACCAGUAGCGAAGGCGGCUUACUGGACUGUAACUGACGUUGAGGCUCGAAAGCGUGGGGAGCAAACAGGAUUAGAUACCCUUGUAGUC
rnacentral:rRNA from 1 species